rnacentral:rRNA from 1 species
UACAGAGGGGGUCAGCGUUAUUCGGAAUUAUUGGGCGUAAAGGGCGCGUAGGCGGCCAUGCGUGUCUUCCGUGAAAUCCCUCGGCUUAACUGAGGACGUGCGGAAGAAACUGCAAGGCUCGAGUCCGGGAGAGGGGGGUGGAAUUCCCAGUGUAGCGGUGAAAUGCGUAGAUAUUGGGAGGAACACCGGUGGCGAAGGCGGCCCCCUGGACCGGUACUGACGCUGAGGCGCGAAAGCGUGGGUAGCAAACGGG